GUACUUUUGUAUAUAAAUAUAUAGAGUGUACCUUCACCUAUCGUCCGCUUAUUUGAGUGCCUUAUUGGAAUGAUGUUGAGUCCACAUGUUCAGACAGACAGGAAGUGGCUGAUUAAAUCACCUUUAUUAAAAGAUACAAGAUGCUGGAAUACCAACACUUUAGAAUGCAGAAGUACUUUACACACAGGCCCAGGCUUGUGUCCAAUAUGGCCCCUUAUUCACUAUAUAGUGCACUACUUUACACACAGGCCCAGGCUUGUGUCCAAUAUGGCCCCUUAUUCACUAUAUAGUGCACUACUUUACACACAGGGCCAGGCUUGUGUCCAAUAUGGCCCCUUAUUCACUAUAUAGUGCACUACUUUACACACAGGGCCAGGCUUGUGUCCAAUAUGGCCCCUUAUUCACUAUAUAGUGCACUACUUUACACACAGGCCCAGGCUUGUGUCCAAUAUGGCCCCUUAUUCACUAUAUAGUGCACUACUUCACACACAGGCCCAGGCUUGUGCCCAACCAAACUCACAUAGAGGCUGUAUCCAAUAUGGCCCCUUAUUCACCAUGUAGUGCACUACUUUAGACCAGAGCCCUAUUCCCUAUAUAGGGCACUACUUUAGACCAGAGCCCUAUUCCAUAUAUAGUGCACUACUUUAGACCAGAGCCCUAUUCCCUAUAUAGUGCACUACUUUAGACCAGAGCCUUAUUCCAUAUAUAGUGCACUACUUUAGACCAGAGCCCUAUUCCCUAGAUAGUGCACUACCUUUAACUACAGCAUUAUUCCAUAUAUAGUGCACUACUUUAGACCAGAGCCCUAUUCCCUAUAUAGUGCACAACAUUAUACUACAGCCCUAUUCCCUAUAUAGUGCACUACUUUAUACUACAGCCCUAUUCCCUAUAUAGUGCACUACUUUUAACCAGAGCCCUGAAUAGACCAGACACCUAAUCAUCUAUAUACAUCUUAAUCUAGCAUUGUGUUUCUCCUAUUAAUCACCCUGUGAAUGACUCUCUAUGGGUCCAGGUUAACACACUAUAAAGGGGAACAGAAUGACUCUCUAUGGGUCCAGGUUAACACACUAUAAAGGGGAACAGAAUGACUCUCUAUGGGUCCAGGUUAACACUCUAUAAGGGGAACAGAAUGACUCUCUAUGGGUCCAGGUUAACACACUAUAAAGGGGAACAGAAUGACUCUCUAUGGGUCCAGGUUAACACACUAUAAAGGGGAACAGAAUGACUCUAUGGGUCCAGGUUAACACUCUAUAAGGGGAACAGAAUGACUCUCUAUGGGUCGAGGUUAACACUCUAUAAGGGGAACAGAAUGACUCUCUAUGGGUCCAGGUUAACACACUAUAAAGGGAACAGAAUGACUCUAUGGGUCCAGGUUAACACUCUAUAAGGGGAACAGAAUGACUCUCUAUGGGUCCAGGUUAACACAUUAUAAAGUGAAUAAGAGUCCAUUUGGAACACAGCUACAGUAGUAAUAACAAAGGUAUUUUUUGAUCAAAAUCCCUGUAAAUAUCUGCGGUAUCCUUGCCAACCCAUUUCAAUCUGCAGGUUGGUUUUUUUCUUUUCAAAAUCACAACGUGACAGUAAACCAGUCUUUAAAGAAAAAAGAGAUCUGAAACCAUGCAACACUCAACAAGCCCACGUUACAGUUACUUCUGGGUUCGCCACCGUUUUGAAUGGCAUCAUCAAUAUCAUCAUCAUCAUCAUCAUCAUCAUCAUCAUCAAUAUCAUCAUCAUCAUCAUCAAUAUCAUGAUCAUCGUCAUCAAUAUCAUGAUCAUCAUCAUCAAUAUCAUCAUCAUCAAUAUCAUGAUCAUCAUCAUCAAUAUUAUCAUCAUCAAUAUCAUGAUCAUCAUCAAUAUCAUCAUCAUCAUCAUCAAUAUCAUGAUCAUUAUCAAUAUCAUGAUCAUCAUCAACAAUAUCAUGAUCAUCAUCAAUAUCAUCAUCAUCAAUAUCAUGAUCAUCAUCAAUAUCAUGAUCAUCAUCAUCAUCAUCAAUAUCAUCAUCAUCAUCAUCAAUAUCAUCAUCAUCAAUAUCAUGAUCAUCAUCAAUAUCAUGAUCAUCAUCAUCAUCAUCAAUAUCAUCAUCAUCAUCAUCAAUAUCAUCAUCAUCAACACUUACAACACCAUAAGACUUCACACAACAGUGACAAGGACGUUUUGACGUUUUUUUUUUUGGGGGAGACAGAAUCGAUCAAAUCUCGAAGACCUCAUCCACUGAGUUUCCAUGACAGGACAAAACGGGUCACGUCGUAGAUAGAACGGGGUUCUCUUCUGUUUCAUUAGUUCGUUACCCGAGUCCAUCGCUGCCUUUAGGCCUCAUGCUUGGUGUUAAAGGGGGACAGUGACCCCGAGCAACAGAUAUACACUACACUUCAGCAAACUAACCACUGGCACCAAACACUAACCUGCUGCUCCCAGAUCAGUGUCUAACCUCCGUGUUGGCACCAAACACUAACCUGCAGCUCCCAGAUCAGUGUCUAACCUCCGUGUUGGCACCAAACACUAACCUGCUGCUCCCAGAUCAGUGUCUAACCUCCGUGUUGGCACCAAACACUAACCUGCAGCUCCCAGAUCAGUGUCUAACCUGCUGCUCCCAGAUCAGUGUCUAACCUGCUGCUCCCAGAUCAGUGUCUAACCUGCUGCUCCCAGAUCAGUGUCUAACCUGCUGCUCCCAGAUCAGUGUCUAACCUGCUGCUCCCAGAUCAGUGUCUAACCUCCGUGUUGGCACCAAACACUAACCUGCAGCUCCCAGAUCAGUGUCUAACCUGCUGCUCCCAGAUCAGUGUCUAACCUGCUGCUCCCAGAUCAGUGUCUAACCUGCUGCUCCCAGAUCAGUGUCUAACCUGCUGCUCCCAGAUCAGUGUCUAACCUGCUGCUCCCAGAUCAGUGUCUAACCUGCUGCUCCCAGAUCAGUGUCUAACCUGCUGCUCCCAGAUCAGUGUCUA
ensembl:lncRNA